rnacentral:snRNA from 2 species
GACUAUGAGGGCAACCUGGCUGUGACAUCUGUCACUCCAUUAAUCUCCAGGGUUAAUUCAGCUGGCUAAUUUAGCCGAGUAAACUGGUUGGCUAGGCAGUUGUUCCCUUCUUCCCUCACUGCCCCAUGUGUGUCCCUCCCAAAGCUGCAUGCUUGGUGGAAGAGAACAACAUUCCCUGAUACAGUAGAACUUUUUUUGGUCAAGAGUAUAUUUGUAGCUAUAGUCCCCAGCUAGAACAUCCUCUAAGCAAGCUCUUAAGGUCCAUUUGUAGGAGAACAUAGGGUACUCAAACCCAUGACUCCAGAGACAUCCAAGAGAAGUGGAUGUGGACAGUCUGCACU